rnacentral:misc_RNA from 1 species
AAGUCGUAACAAGGUUUCCGUAGGUGAACCUGCGGAAGGAUCAUUAGUGAAUCUUCAAAAGUCGGCUGGUUGGAUUGUGCUGGUGGAGACACAUGUGCACAUCUGCCGGUCGCAAACCCACACACCUGUGCAUCUAUGACUCUGAGUGCCGCUUUGCAUGGCCUUGAUCGGCCUGGCGCUCGAGUACUUUUCACACACUCUCGAAUGUAACGGAAUGUCUUGUUGUGCAUAACGUACAAAUCAAAACAACUUUCAACAACGGAUCUCUUGGCUCUC